rnacentral:rRNA from 1 species
UUUUUCAAAUAAUUUUAAAACAUGCAAAUCGUUGUUUUCAAAAUUAUAUUUUAUCAAAUAAAUUAGGUAAAAUAAAAAAUUAGAGAAUAAGGUGUAAAGGUGAGUAUAAUAAAUAAGAUACCCUAUAGUCUUCAUAAAUAGGAGAUAUUAAUUUAUUAUUAAAAAUAUUAUUAUUUUUAGUACAAAAAUUAUAAAGGAUAUUAUCUGCUAUAGGAUUCUAUUUAUUUCGAUUAGGUAGUUGGUGGGGUAAAAGCCUAACCAAGCCGACGAUCGAAAGCUAUGCUUGAUAGAGCCUCUAGCCACAUUGGGAAUGAAAUCUCCCAAAUAGUAAAAUUUUUAUUUUAAUAUAAAAUAAAAAAGACUAUCAGCAGUCGAGAAUCUUAGUCAAUGCUCGCAAGAGUGAACUAGCUAACUGAAAUCAUUAAUUGAACAUAUUCAAUGUGAUGUGGUAAGGGAAAACAAUGAUAUUACCUUACUUAUAGUGUUGUCUAAGUCUGGUGCCAGAAGACUCGGUAAGGCCAGGAACGCAAACGUUAAUCAUCAUAAACAGGCGUAAAGGGUUUGUAGGCUGCUUUUUUAGUGAUAAUUAAAGCUAGAAUCAAACAGAAGUUAAAAAGUAUAAUACUUAGAGAAGGGAUUAUAUCCUUAGAACCUAAGGGGAAUACUAAAGGUGUAAACAACUAACUAUAAAUGAUUGACGCUGAGAGACGAAGGUGAGGAUAGGAAAUAGGAUUAGAUACCCCGGUACCCCUCUCUGUAAACGAUGAAUGGUAGUCAUUAGUAUAUUAUUGGUGAUGAAGUUAACACGUUAACCAUUCCGCCUUGGGAGUACGACUGCAAAGUUAAAAACAAAAAAAUUAGUCGGUCUCGGAGCAAACGGAGUGAAGCAUGUUGUUUAAUACGAUAACCCGCGUAAAACCUUACCAGUUCUUGUAUAACAAUUUUUAUUUAUUUUUUUAAGUUUAAGUAAAUAAAAAUAAAUGUUUAUUCUUAAAACAUUUAGUUACAGGUGUUGCAUGGCUGUCGGUCAGUCCGUAUCGUCAGAUGUUUGGUUAAAUCCUCUAACGGACGAAAUCCCUUUUGUUAAUUUAUUCUUAACAUUUAGUGGUUCUAAAAAAGUACCAUUUGGGGCAAAGACAAGUCGUUAUGGCCCUAAUGAACUGGGCUACAGACGUGCCACAAAAACUUUUACAAUGUGAUGCAAUACUUAGCAAAAAUAGGUGGAGCUAAUCAAUAAAGAAAGUUAAAAAGAAAACUGUGAUGAAUUGUCAUCUGCAAUUCGGUGGCAUGAAAACGGAAUUCCGAGUAAUCGUUGAUAACUACGCAACGGUGAAGCAUAAAUUCGUGAUGAACUAACUGUCUGUCGCUGGGAAGGAGCUUAAGUUGAGGGAAACUGUGGGUAAAUUGGCUUUUUUAUAGAAAUAGUUUUUAAAACUUCUAUAUUAAGUUAAUUGACUUCAGUUAACUCAUUUAG